UACACGCUGUGACUAGCAUAUCAAUAAGCGGAGGAAAAGAAACUAACAAGGAUUCCCUUAGUAACGGCGAGUGAAGCGGGAAGAGCUCAAAUUUGAAAUCUUCAAGGUUUUACCUUGACGAAUUGUAGUUUAAAGAAGUGUUUUCUGCUGAAGUUUUGGUAAAAGUUCUUUGGAAUAGGACAUCAUAGAGGGUGAGAAUCCCGUAUUUGACCAUUAUUUUCAGCUUUGUGAUACACUUUCAAAGAGUCGGAUUGUUUGGGAAUGCAGCCCAAAACGGGAGGUAAAUUUCAUCUAAAGCUAAAUAUUGGCGAGAGACCGAUAGCGAACAAGUACCGUGAGGGAAAGAUGAAAAGAACUUUGAAAAGAGAGUUAAACAGUACGUGAAAUUGUCAAAAGGGGAAGCGUUUAACACCAGUGUUGUUUUCUGAAAAUCAACCUCUGUUAGCUUUAUGCAUGUUUGUUUAGACCUAAUCAGCUAUCUUGCAUGUUCUAUUGUUUGCAGUGGUGCACUUUUCAGUUUACAGGUCAACAUCAGUUUUUUUUACCGUAAAAAAGUUAAAGAAAGGUAGCUCAUGGCUCCGGUCGUGAGUGUUAUAGUCUUUUUUCCUAUGCGGUAGGAGAGACUGAGGUCUGCAGUGUAGGCUAUUUGGCUAGAUACUCAGGUGCUAUGUGAUACCAUUUCAUAAACAACUUGUUGAUUAUGUUUUGUCUAUUGCAUACUCGCUUGUACUAUCAUACCUACGCUUAGGAUGUUGAGUAGCGACAUACGCAC
rnacentral:rRNA from 1 species